rnacentral:tRNA from 1 species
GCGCGUGGCCUAGCCAGGAUAUGGCGGCAGCCUCCUAAGCUGCAGGUCGCGGGUUCGAACUGUAACCUGUCUGCA